AGAUGUGAGGGUGAUCUGUCUGUGACAUCUGUCACCCCACUGAUCUCCAGGAUUGACUCAGCUGAUCUGGCUGGCUAGACAGGUGUCCCUUUCCUCCCUCAGUGCUCCAUGUGUGUCCCUCCCAAAGCUGCGUGCUCAGUUGAAGAAAACAACCAUCCCUGAUUGAGCAAGAGUAUAUAAGUACCUGCUAGAACCUCCAAACAAGCCCUCAAAUACAAGCAUCAUAACAUGUGUUUAUAUAUGCAGAACAUGUUUCCAAAAGUUGAACUCUUU
rnacentral:snRNA from 1 species